UCGCGCGUAUAGGUAACUUUAAAACAAUCGGUUACCACAAUAUAGUGGCGUACAAAAAAUGUUCGACAGUCGAAUAAUAUAAUUUAUAAAAUUAUUAUUAUUUUAUUGCAGUGUAACCCAUCGCGGUAGUUUUAAUUGGCGUUGUAAAUUAUACAGACAAGAUCGGUUGAAAUGAAAGAUAAGUCCAAGCCGGUUAAUUUCGCCAUAACUGCGCGAAAAUCACAUGCGAUGACGAGGCGACGCAAUACGUCAACGGCAUAUAAUCCUGAUAACCAAAUGCAUGGGAUGGAAUGACGGGGGCCGAGAGGUGGCGAGGGCUUGCCGUAGUUACUACAUACGACAGGCAUCGGUGGCCAUUAAUCAUCCAUCGCGGUCUCAUAGUUUUAUCUUCUGCCACCACCGUGUCAAAAUUUGAAAAAGUAAUAUAUCGAUGCGCCAGGUGGAUGAGAAACGGAUACGAAAAUAUUUAUAGAACAUGAUCCCAAAAAGUGACAUUUUUUCACUCUAUAUAUAAUAUAUAUAAAUAUAAUAUAUAACAUUUCAAACGACGAAAACUUUGUGUAGGUUGGUCUUUUUUCUCUCUCGCCUACCUAUCUAUCUCUCUAUUCGGUCUAAAUUAUUGAAUAACGUACAACGGAUGUAGCGGGAACGACAAAAUUAUCAGGAGUGGGAAAAAACCACUGCAGAAGUUUGCUGCCGAGACGACGGGGAAACAAAAGGGAUUACAAAAACAACUACAUUACAAACUCAAUUUCGACGGCUCAUUUGAUACCGUUAUGAAAGCCCAAGGAUUUUGUAGUAUUGUUUUUUUUACUCUGGUUAACAAUUUAAAUUAAUAAGACACUUUUUAUUAUUUUCCCCUUAUUUUGAUUAUUAUUAUUACUCCGCUAUUCCGGAUGCCAAAAGUCUGUAUACACUAUUUUAACACUAUAUACAUAAUAUAUCCAAUAUACCUACGUUAAGAACACUCCAUUUUUUCUACCGAUCAUCAAUCAUCAAUGUUACUGUUUAUAUUAUAUUUAAUCAAUAUUCUAUUUAAAUUAAGUUGAUACUGUGGUACUUUAAAAUAAAAGAA